CAAGCGUUAUCCGGAUUUAUUGGGUUUAAAGGGUGCGUAGGCGGUUUGAUAAGUUAGAGGUGAAAUUUCGGGGCUCAACCCUGAACGUGCCUCUAAUACUGUUGAGCUAGAGAGUAGUUGCGGUAGGCGGAAUGUAUGGUGUAGCGGUGAAAUGCUUAGAGAUCAUACAGAACACCGAUUGCGAAGGCAGCUUACCAAACUAUAUCUGACGUUGAGGCACGAAAGCGUGGGGAGCAAACAGGAUUAGAUACCCUGGUAGUCCACGCAGUAAACGAUGAUAACUCGUUGUCGGCGAUACACAGUCGGUGACUAAGCGAAAGCGAUAAGUUAUCCACCUGGGGAGUACGUUCGCAAGAAUGAAACUCAAAGGAAUUGACGGGGGCCCGCACAAGCGGAGGAACAUGUGGUUUAAUUCGAUGAUACGCGAGGAACCUUACCCGGGCUUGAAAGUUACUGACGAUUCUGGAAACAGGAUUUCCCUUCGGGGCAGGAAACUAGGUGCUGCAUGGUUGUCGUCAGCUCGUGCCGUGAGGUGUCGGGUUAAGUCCCAUAACGAGCGCAACCCCUACCGUUAGUUGCCAUCAGGUGAAGCUGGGCACUCUGGCGGGACUGCCGGUGUAAGCCGAGAGGAAGGUGGGGAUGACGUCAAAUCAGCACGGCCCUUACGUCCGGGGCUACACACGUGUUACAAUGGGGGGUACAGAAGGCAGCUACACGGCGACGUGAUGCUAAUCCCAAAAACCUCUCUCAGUUCGGAUCGAAGUCUGCAACCCGACUUCGUGAAGCUGGAUUCGCUAGUAAUCGCGCAUCAGCCAUGGCGCGGUGAAUACGUUCCCGGGCCUUGUACACACCGCCCGUCAAGCCAUGGGAGCCGGGGGUACCUGAAGUGCGUAACCGCGAGGAGCGCCCUAGGGUAAAACUGGUGACUGGGGCUAAGUCGUAACAAGGUAGCCGUACCGGAAGGUGCGGCUG
rnacentral:rRNA from 1 species